rnacentral:lncRNA from 1 species
CAUAUACACAUUUUCUGCUUACUAUUUUUUAUGCUUAAUGUGCUAAAUUUGUAUAUUUUACAGCCAAAACUUGUUCUAAUAAAACUAUUUUUAACAUUUAAUACUAAUCACAAAUUUAAUUUCUUAAAACUUAAUUUUGCAGUGACACUUAUUUUGUCUGAUUUUUAAAUUUCCCUAAUAUUUUUUACAAUCAUAAACCCACAUGAUGUGAAAAAUAUUUAAACAAAAAUCUGUUCUAAACUAUAAUACUAUUGGUUUAAUCCAUGUUGUCUUUUUCUCUGUUCAAUUUUAUACCUCCUUGGAACUUAGAACCUUCUUACUAUGACACUUUCCAGGUAAUCUUAAAUAACCCCUCCCCCACUGAGAAAAAAGACCCUCUCAGGUCAGAUCAUAUUAUUUAUAUGAAUUAUCAAAAACUUUUAUCACUGAUCCUAAAUAUUUUAUAUCUGAUUCAUGUUUCCUAGGUCAGCUUUCUUUCCAGAGCACCGGUCCCCAACCCUCAGGCCGUGGACCAGUAGCGAUCUGUGUCCUGUUAGGAACUGGGCUGCACAGCAGGCGAGUCCAUGUUACAUCACUGCCCAUAUGCUGGACACUGGAGAUCACAAAAUCUCAUCCCACUUUUGGCAACAAGAAACCUAAAGUUUGUUUGAUUUCACCAUUUUGCCCAGGCUGGUCUGAAACUCCUGAGCUAAAGCAUUCUGCCCACUUCGGCCUCCCAAAGUGCUGGGACUACAGGCCUGAGCAACCACGUCCAGUUGUUUUUCUAUUCACAAGGUUCCCCGUCACCAGUAGCUGCAGCACAGUGUACUGGGAAAAGCACAGGGCUUGAAGGCUCACGGUUGUGAAGCUAGUCAUGUUAAUACACCUCAGUUUGUCCUGAUGGUAAAAUCUGGAUUAUAAAUACUUAUCCACAGAUUUGCUGCUAAUUUAAAAUUAUAUAAUGUUGUUAGUUACAAACCAGAUAAUGCUUUGAGAAUACACUGUUUUAGAGAAAUGUUAAUUUGUUUCAAUACAAGAGGCAUUGUCUUAAAUUUUGUGUACUUGAAUUUUAAUCCUUCUCUAACCACUGCUAUUUAUAAAGUAUGAUAUCCCAGGAAGAGAACUAUAAUCCCAGGGUCAUAAAAUGUAGUAAUAUGAAGAAAGUUUAAAAUUUGUGGAGUCAAAUUCCUGCUAACGAUUG